GUUCAGAGACGUGAAAUCGCUGAAGUGGAACCGGAGAGAGUUAACAUAACUUGGUAGCUAUAUUCUCUAUAGUCGCUUAGCUGUGGCUUUGGGGGGUGGACGCUACCUGUUGUUGCGCUGACUGCGUUGAUCAUGCUUUCCUAACAAUGUAGUGUUGCCCACAUUGUGGUGUCUUGCUUAUUGGGAGGUUUGUCAUGGUUAACGUCAAGCCUUAGUUUCUAGGGAGUCAGUGUGAAAGUUAACCACCUUUCCGACCCGUCUUGAAACACGGACCGAGGAGUGUAAUUUACACGCGAGUCAAAGGGCUGAGGAAACCUUAUGGCAUAAUGAAAGUAAAGACCGGUUAACCGGUUGACAUGGGAUCCGACUGAACUUCUUCGAAACGGAGCACCAUGGCCCUGUCUUGUCUGCUUGCAGAUGGGCAGCGGUAGAGCGUGUAGGUUGCGACCCGAAAGAUGGUGAACUAUGCUUGAGCAGGACGAAGCCAGAGGAAACUCUGGUGGAAGUCCGUAUCGGUUCUGACGUGCAAAUCGAUCGAUAGACUUGAGUAUAGGGGCGAAAGACUAAUCGAACCGUCUAGUAGCUGGUCCCUUCCGAA
rnacentral:rRNA from 1 species